AUGGAUAAGUUAGAAAGGGCGCACGGUGAAUGCCUUGGCACUAGGAGCCGAUGAAGGACGCGACGAACAGCGAUAUGCUUCGGGGAGCUGUAAGUAAGCUUUGAUCCGGAGAUUUCCGAAUGGGGGAACCCACCAUCCGUAAUGGGAUGGUACUCCUGCCUGAACACAUAGGGCAGGGUGAGGCAGACCCGGGGAACUGAAACAUCUAAGUACCCGGAGGAAGAGAAAGCAAAUGCGAUUUCCUGAGUAGCGGCGAGCGAAACGGAAUCAGCCCAAACCAAGAGGCUUGCCUCUUGGGGUUGUAGGACACUCUAUACGGAGUUACAAAGAAACGGAGUAGGUGAAUUGUCUGGAAAGACAAGCCGAAGAAGGUAACAGCCCUGUAGCUGAAACUUCGUUUCCUCCAGAGUGGAUCCUGAGUACGGCGGGACACGUGAAACCCCGUCGGAAUCCGGGAGGACCAUCUCCCAAGGCUAAAUACUCCCUAGUGACCGAUAGUGAACCAGUACCGUGAGGGAAAGGUGAAAAGCACCCCGGAAGGGGAGUGAAAGAGAUCCUGAAACCGUGUGCCUACAACUAGUCAGAGCCCGUUAACGGGUGAUGGCGUGCCUUUUGUAGAAUGAACCGGCGAGUUACGAUAACGUGCAAGGUUAAGCUGAUGAGGCGGAGCCGUAGCGAAAGCGAGUCU
rnacentral:rRNA from 1 species